rnacentral:rRNA from 1 species
AUUGAACGCUGGCGGCAGGCCUAACACAUGCAAGUCGAACGGUAACAGGAAACAGCUUGCUGUUUGGCUGACGAGUGGCGGACGGGUGAGUAAUGUCUGGGAAACUGCCUGAGGGAGGAGGAUAACUACUGGAACCGGUAGCUAAUACCGCAUAACGGCGCAAGACCAAAGAGGCGGACCUUCGGGACUCUUGACAUCCGAUGUGCCCAGAUGGGAUUAGCUGGUAGGUGGGGUAACGGCUCACCUAGGCGACGAUCCCUAGCUGGUCUGAGAGGAUGACCAGCCACACUGGAACUGAGACACGGUCCAGACUCCUACGGGAGGCAGCAGUGGGGAAUAUUGCACAAUGGGCGCAAGCCUGAUGCAGCCAUGCCGCGUGUAUGAAGAAGGCCUUCGGGUUGUAAAGUACUUUCAGCGGGGAGGAAGGGAGUAAAGUCAAUACCUUUGCUCAUUGACGUUACCCGCAGAAGAAGCACCGGCUAACUCCGUGUCAGCCGCCGCCGUAA